CUCUGCUCCAGGGCUUUUCUUAUAAAGCCUUAACUUAUUAAACAUUCAAAGGAAAAGUCUAUAAAACUUUACUGGUGUUCAUACAUCUCUUCUGACACUGUAGAUGUUUCCUACUUUAGAUGAGCAACAGUCAUUUCACUCUUUAGCUGGGGUAACCAAACAAUGUUUUGAGCUAUAAUUUGUCCUAGGUUUUAACUAAAGGUGUACACAGUCAGUAGACCCUGCAAUUAGUAAUUGGAAUACUGUGAAUGGCAUUUAAACAAAAUCAUAAGAUCUUAAGGCUUCAAGUGUUCUUUAUACAAUGUAACUCUGGUUAUUACUUAACUCCUAUAUAUUUAAGCAUACCUGUGCUAUUUCUUCAGUUUUGCUCAGAGGGGAAGCUCCAGGCUUUGCAGCAUGACAGGAGCACAUGUGUGUCACCUGUGCCUUUGUGGUGUGAGGAGUGUGGCAGCCACCCAUUUCAGUGCCCUGUCAGAAAAGGAAAGAUAGAUUUUUCACAGCGUGAAGCAUUCCAGAUCAUAACAGCUGCCUUGUGACACACUGAGUACCAUGAAACAUGGGCUUUAAUGACAGCACUGUCUGAAAGGUUUCCUGCAUCCCAGCUGCCCCAUACCUUGGAGGACAGGCUUGGCCAGCAGUCACCCUUCAGGAUUUUUAAGGCAUGUACUGGCCUGGUAGACAAGACGAGAGCAUUGGAUAGUGUCUGCAUGGACUUCAGCAAGACUUUCAGUGCUGUCUCCCGUAAGAUCCUCAUAGAAAAGCUUUUCAAGU